AAAGAAAAGAGGAUGUAACUUGUUACCAUAGACUUGCCCACACUCUAUCAUUCUACCCAUUGUUUUUUCACCGCCUUACCCUCUUUUAUCAGCUUCCAUUCUUUUCUUUUUCUUUCCUUUUCUUCUUUGUUCUGGGGGUUUCGAGGAAAGGAAACAGAGGAUGAAAGAGAGAGAGGGAGGGGCGACGGGCAAAGCAAGAAGAAGACUAAGCUUGGGCUUUGAUUUAUAAGCUUCUAGCUGCGCGGAAGAAACACUUUUUGAUAUCGGGGAUCAGCUCGAAGGAUUAGGUAGGAACCUUAGUUAUUUGAUACGUAUUCUUUUUGUAUAAAAUGUAUACCUGAAAUUUUUGUUUAGUUUUGGUUUAGCGAUUGAUUGAGAAAAUAAAAUUACUCUCUUUUGAUAUGAAUAUCCAUAUUAGAGCUUGCUGAAUUAGUUUUUUUUUAUU